rnacentral:sRNA from 1 species
GAUGUUUUGUGUGUCAGCUUCAUCACAGAGCAAGAUGGAAAAAUAUAGGCCUCAUUAGUCUCAUGCCAACCAGAAUGGGCCUUCAACUUAUGGUGCUGGUUUGAUUGAAUGGACCAUUGCAUGAGUGGAAAAUCUGAACUUGGCUCUGAACUCUGCCUCAGCCAUCGGGUGCCAUGUGGUCAACAUAGGGGCUGAGGACCUGAAGGAGGGGAAGCCUUAUCUGGUCCUGGGACUUCUGUGGCAAGUCAUCAAGAUUGGAUUGUUUGCUGACAUUGAACUCAGCAGAAAUGAAGCUCUGAUUGCUCUUUUGAGAGAAGGUGAGAGCCUGGAGGAUUUGAUGAAACUCUCCCCUGAAGAGCUCUUGCUGAGGUGGGCUAAUUACCACCUGGAAAAUGCAGGCUGCAACAAAAUUGGCAACUUCAGUACUGACAUCAAGGACUCAAAAGCUUAUUACCACCUGCUUGAGCAGGUGGCUCCAAAAGGAGAUGAAGAAGGUGUUCCUGCUGUUGUUAUUGACAUGUCAGGACUGCGGGAGAAGGAUGACAUCCAGAGGGCAGAAUGCAUGUUGCAGCAGGCGGAGAGGCUGGGCUGCCGGCAGUUUGUCACAGCCACAGAUGUUGUCCGAGGGAACCCCAAGUUGAACUUGGCUUUUAUUGCCAACCUCUUUAACAGAUACCCUGCCCUGCACAAACCAGAGAACCAGGACAUUGACUGGGGGGCUCUUGAAGGU